rnacentral:lncRNA from 10 species
UCUGUUUCUCCCACAGCCCAUUAGACAGCAGCAUCCCCAGGAAAAUGCUGGCCGGGAACUGCACAGGCCACCACGUUGAUAUGGUAGAAAGUCACAGGGCCCGUGGGGAUGGGAUGAAUCUUAGCAUAGACCAUCUGGCUGUUGCCCUGACUGAUGGGCUAGAAUGCAGCGAGAAGAGGCAAAAGGCUGCACCCGCUCAGCCCUGCAGGGUCAGGAGAAGCCCCCUGGGCAUGACUGCCCUUCAGCCACCAAGUCCUCUAUCCCACAGGCGGGGGUCCUCAGAGGGCCACGGUAGCUGGAGCCCUCGACCUCUCUUGGCUCCCCAGGGUGUCUGUGAACAGUGCGCCUUCUGGGGGCCCUGAAGACUGCAGAAGAACCCCUUUUGCUUGCCUGGACUGGGGUGGGGGAUACAGCUGCCAAGAGUCCCAUUCGAGGCCUGGUAGGGAAUGGUGCAGGGUCUGAACUUGACCCUUCUCACUCUCCCAGGGGCUGCAAUUGAGACCCCAAAGAGAGCUCCGCCCUCAGGGCAGAAGGCCAGGGCUGCUCCCCUCCUUUCUGGGGGGAGGAGGGACAUUUCAAGCAGGUGUCCCAGCAGUGGGGAAAGGGAAGUGGGGGUGCACACUGCGAGGGGCUGUGGGUGCUGGGCCCAAAGCAUCUCCUAUGGGCCAUGAGACCCACGGCAGGGCCACAUUUCCAGGGACUGGCAUGGAGGAAGAGUUGCAGGGAGGGACUGGGGCAGGUGCGUGCCCAGCUGGGGGCCCGGAAGGGAGACAGGUCCCAUCCCCGGGCUCCAGAGAUGCCACCACCCAGGGAAGCCUUGGCUGUCCCAGCCACACCUAAUCCUGCCGCUCAGAGUUUGCAUAAUUUAAUCAGUGUUCACCUCCCUUCUUGAGCAGAUGAGGAAACUGAAGCUCAGAUGCGGACAGGCAAGGCCGAGCCAGGCCCUUGGUGGCUUCUGGGAGCCCCUGCAGCCAGGGCGGGUGGUAAGGGCUGUGGCCUGGGACUGGUCACUUGGGCCCUGCCACCUGGGCUGGACGUCCAGACAGGCGGGUGGUCCUCUCCCAGCUGCAGCUUCUCAAGGUGUCCAAAAGGGACCCUUGCCACACUUGCAGGGAGUCAGAGCUGGCCCCAGGGCAUGAGCUUAGGCCAUCUGGUCUGUGAUCUGCCCCAGCGCUUGCGGCCAGGCCAGCCCAUUGUUCCCCAGCCUGUUCUCUCUCUUGCCUGGGUGGUGCCUGCUGGGAACCACAGGGUGUUGGCAGCCACCCAUGGCUCCAGAGAGGUGGGCCCCUACUGAAAGUGUUAGAGGCAUGUGCUGGGGGACUUGGCUCCUGAGUCCCCACACAGAGCUGUUCCAGGGAAGCCACACCCGCAUUUGAUGUCUUCCCACCUCCCAAAGACAUUUGGUGAGAGGCCCCCAAGACCUUCAGCUUCUCAGGACUGUUUCCAGAGGGGAGAAAGUCCCUUAACCCACAACGGUGCUCAGGGCACCUCUGCAGGUGAGUGUCCUGUAAGUGGAUGCUCAGGCGCUGAGCCACGGAGAGCCUGUCUCCUGGCCCCAGGCUGGCGAGGGCAUUCAUCCCAGGCCCAGGGCUGAGGUUGCUCCCUACAGCACUGGGUGCAGGUGUCCAUCCUCCUGUAGGUGAGGCUCCGGGUGGUUCGUCUGAGACAGUUCCCAGGAACUGGAGGAGGGAGAGCUGCUGCUUCCUGUUUCUGGCCUGGGAACCCUUGCUGCGCGUGUCUGGAGACGAUGGAAGUCCGGUAGGGGCUAGGUGUGCAGUCUGGGAAGCUCCAUACCACAGGCCCUGCCGUCAGCUGAGUAACUGAGGCUGGCUCAUCUCAGCCCCCCAAAGGUCUCAGUGACGAGGCAGGGUCUCCACGCACUGGAAUAGUGUCAAACCACACACAAGGGCACAGAACCCAGGGACACAGGGCGGCUGAGACACGCAGCUGGUGAUGGCCCUCAGGACGGUGUCAACCAGUAUGUAAUCACAUUCCACACGGCACCAAUUGGACAGCGGCCUCCGGUCAGCCUCACUCUGACUGCAACCCCCUCUCACUGGACAGCAUCACCUGGACACAGAGCCUCACCUAGUCUGUGUCCCGUGGACACAACUUUGCUUUGGACAGUGACACCAAGAAUACUCACCCCUUUACUUAGCCAGACCACAGGCAGCCACCGGGACACAAACAUCUCUCCAGAGUCACCCUCCACACAGACUCCACAGCAGAACUCCCAGGGAGGCACUGGGGCAUGGCUUCAGAGCACCAGGCAGCCCUCCGCGGUGCCCAGCACCCGCUCAGCCAGGGCAGCCUGCAGCGGAGCCUGGAGCCAGCAGCUUCUCAUCUCUUGGCCUCGGGAAAUGUAGCUGGAGUCAUCAUUUAGCAGAGCACGGUGUCCCUGGGUUGGCCACCCAGCUUAGUUUUAAAAUAAAAUAAUGUAAUCUUGGCCUAAUGGUGG